GCCGGGCGUGGUGGCUCACGUCUGUAAUCCCAGCACUUUGGGAGGCUGAGGCGGGUGGAUCACCUGAGGUCAGGAGUUCGAGACCAGCCUGGCCAACAUGGUGAAACCCCGCCUCUA
rnacentral:SRP_RNA from 1 species